ensembl:lncRNA
GGAGGAAAGGGAGGAUGAAUGAUGGAAUCAGUGCUGAUUUUCCAUCGAAGAUCUCUCAGCACCGCUCCCCAGGAACUUUGAGAAAAGCAUUAAACCCUUGCCUGCAUCCCAGGAGGCUCUCUGCUUCCCUUCCUCCCAAAGUCACAAACUGAAGACAAAAGACUCUUAAUCACAUGCCUUCUGAUUUCCCUGUGUACUUUUCCAACCAGAGAAAGUGUUCCUCAUUGAAGGGCCUUCUUUGUUCUUAAAAGAAUCAGGGCACUUUUCUUCCUCUAGAAUCUUAACAAUUACAAACCUGAAAAGAUGCAGUUUUCCAAUGAGGGGAUUAAAAAAGAAGUGGAAGAUACGCUUCCUGCCCUUGAAAGAUGAACAGAGCAGCUUCUGUGUACUCCAUUAGGGGAGAGCGAAGCCUAUGGAUUUCACCAAAUAAGGGACAGAGCAAAUCCAGUCUGCCCUGAUCUUCCUCAGGCCCCUCUCUCAAACUCAAAACUAAUUUUCAAAGUCAUCCAUCUUUAACCCAACAGCAUCAGUUACUGGAAGUAGUUUCCCUUUCUCGUUACCUCAUCUGAUGAAGUUUGUUACUCAUCAUACAAAAUGAAACAUCACUUACAUGGCUCUUCCAUGCCCCCCAUCCCCUGCCAUUAAUCAGAGGAAGCUGAGUUGGCCCGAAUACGUAUUGUCCUCUUCCCAAAGGGUCUUUAGUUUGGGUUCAAAUGAAGCAGAAGCCAACCCCGAGGCAAAGGAUCAGGCUUAAGAGGUUUAAUCGAUAUCAUGCAAUAAACACAGAAAUGGAAACUGAGAGCAGGAAUGAGUUAUGACACACCACCCUGAAAAUUCAAUUACCUCAGCAAGACAUUCAGCAUAAAUCAAAGAUAUCUACGGCGUGAAGACGCAUCAGAGCUCAUCCACAGAGGGGAAGCGACUCACCCAAGGUCACACUACAAAUGAUGGGGUCAGCCGAGAGAGAUUCGCAAUGCAUAACAUUUGCCCAAAUUGGCAUGGG